rnacentral:lncRNA from 1 species
GCAGAAGGGUUAAUAAUAUCAGCCUCCAUGUCCCAGUGCCUAGAAUCUGUUCAGAAUAGUUACUAAAUACUGAAUGCAAAGCCUAGUAAAUAUUUUCACUCUGUGAAAACGUAUACUUCCUCGUGAAUGAAAUAAUUAUUAUUAUUAUGGACCAAUAGAUAUUAUUGAUAGAUUUGCUUGUUGUUUGAUUCCUGAGUGUUGAUAAAGUUUCCUUAAUCUCAUUAUAAGCCUUAGGUAGGGGAAAAUGAAGCCCUAAAUAAAAGAGAUUAUAAGAGAGCUUCUGGCUCCUUUAAAUGACUUUAAGCCCUUGGUAUGGGUGAUUUACGGUCUAACCUACUGAAAGAACUUGAAAAUCAUAUUUAUAGACCAUUACUGGCCAUUUUUAAGGAUUUGUGGGGGAAAUGAUCAUUUCUAAAAUUCUACAGUUUGACAUGUGCCCCUAAUUUUUAAAAAUAAUAAGCUGAAUGCCCCUUCCAACCUAGUAUAAGAGAGUUUCUUAAACCAACAUAUUUUGAGAAUUAAAAGAAGAAAAAAGAAGCAGAUCACCAGGAGCCUGCAUGGCUUUGCUAAGAUUAUUUGCUUUGGUGGUUGGACCGCGGGAGUGCUAGUGAGGGGCGGUCAGUGCGGUCUGUCUGAAUUUCAAAAGACAUUUGUCAAAGGAUCUCAUGAUGUACUAUAGAAAAUAGAGAAAUUUGGUCUCAAUCAAUGGUUUUCAAAGAUUUGUUUGAACACAAAAGAUUUUUUUUUUUCAAAUAAGAUAUCAUGAGGAAAUACAAUAUGCCAAAAAAAAAAAAAAAAAAAAAAAAAAAAGAGAGAGAGAAAAGAAAAAGAGUUGGCUUGGGGAGUACCCUCUCUUUGCUCCCUUAUCUCCUGCAUCUGCCGGACCUCAUAACACUCUUUGGAGAACAGAUGGAAAGUCACUGGCCUGUAGAACAGCGUGUUUGGUUGGGCUCAUAAUUGGUUGCAUGUCCAUACCCAAACAGUGCUCCUUAUUGCAUUGAUGACAUUCUGGGGUGCAUGCUGCAGUGGAAUGUCACAGAGAUGCAUCCUCUCUUUUUCCCAUUUCCCAUUUUAUGAAUUUCUUGGGUGGAUAAUAUAUCAAUGAUGAUCAAAUUCCUGAAUAUGAAGCAAGGGGAAAUAUUAACAUAUUGGAAGGCAAAGUCAGACUCUACACAGCUCUCAAAAGGUAGAAUGAUAGGAAAUCCAAUAGAAUGGACUUCAGUGGAAGAGAUGGAAAGCCCUGCAUUUGCACUAUUAAAACCAAUCAUCUCCAGUCUGAACUGUGGGGUUUGGUGUGGUACAAAGGAUUAAGCACUUGCUCUGUGUCAGGUGUAGUGGUUUUUCCUUUACUUUUACUUUACAUGGACUGUUAUCUGUAGAUUCCUGACCAUAUGGAUUCUCUUUGUGUGUGUUGGGGGGUACAUCAAAUAUCUCCCAUUUUGCCACCUUUCCCCGCAGCACAGAGACAGUGGAGGCAGCACUCUGACUGCCAUCCAUGUGAUUGGCAGCAAUGUGCUCUGAAAAACCCACGUCUGACUCCCAGCCCUUGCAGAGUUUUCAAUGAGUCAUGAUCCUUGGAUCUUCUUAAGACAGAAUUGACCUAGUUUUUCACCUAUUCAUUACAAAGGGAAAAAUCAAAGGGUCAAGGGUGGGGAGUUCCCUUUGUGGCUCAGUCGGUUAAGAACCUGACAUAGGGUCCAUAAGGAUGCCGGUUCAAUCCCUGGCCUCGCUUGGUGGGUUAAGGAUCCAGCAUUGCUGCAGGCUUUGGCGUAGGUUUCAGAUACUGCUCAGAUCCAGCGUGGCUGUGGCUGUGGUGUAGGUCUGUAGCUGCAGCUUGGGUUCGACCCCUAGCCUGGUCGCUUCCCUGUGCUGCAGGUGCAGCCUUAAAAAGAAAAGAAAAAGGGUCAAGGAUGAUUUGGACCACAGGCUUGGUAUGAGUCCUGUGACAGUGGACUGAUUUUUGACUACUCUGUUCACUUCUAAUCUGGUACUGAGUUGUAAAAUUUGAAAGUGCGUGUCAAUGGCUAAUGCGACUCUUUUAAAAGUAAUAAGCUUUAAAAAUAAUAUUCUUCACAAACUGAUGCUGUGGAGAACAUUAGAUGAUUUCUACUAUUGGCGCCUCAUAACUUCAAUUUUUAACAGGCUAUUUAAUUCUAAUUAAAAUCUUAAAAUUAGCAUAAAUCCUUCCUUCUCUCUCCUUUUCCUGUUCUUCCCGUCCCACCUUCUCAAUCCCUUUCCUCCUUCUUUCCUUUAACACGUAUUAAGUAUUUUCUAUGCCACUGGUCCUUGAGAACAAAAGGAAUAAAGCAUCAUAGGAUGGUCAGUGUUCAGGUGUAAACCCUUGGAUGAAGAAGCGAGUUGGAUGAAAUGACAGAUACACAGGGAGUUUUAGCUUUUGGUUACUACCCCGGCCCCCACUUUUUUGUUUGUUUGUUUUUGCUUUUUAGGGCUGCACCUGCGGCAUAUGGAGGUUCCCAGGCUAAGGGUCCAGUAGGAGCUACAACUGCCGGCCUACGCCACAGCCACAGCUACGAAGGAUCCGAAUCACGUCUGCAACCUACACCACAGCUCACGGCCAUGCCAGAGCCUUAACCCACUGAGCGGGGCCAGGGAUCGAACCCGCAACCUUAUGGUUCCUAGUCGCAUUCGUUUCCACUGCGCCACAACAGGAACUCCUGGUUACUCCCUUGAAAGAGACCAUCUAAUUCAGUGCCUAAGGCUCAAUGAGGUUUCUUCCAAAAUGCAGCAAAUGUAGCAUUUUUUGAGGCAAAAUGUCUAGUUCUUUACUUUAAAACUGUUGAAAUUAUUGCAGAUAAACUCUCUCCAGGGUUAUAUGCCAAUUGCUUUGAGAAGAUGAAAACUUCCAGCUGGUUCCUCCUGCUCUCCGUUCUCUUUAUGGAGUUGCCUGACCUUCAGGCUGCACUUUCUUAUUCCUUUUGUCACCAGGAGGAAAGGGCCGAUGGCAGUAUUAGCUUUGCCGGUUGCUGAGUGGAUGGGAAGUGACGGGGGACGUCUUCUGCUCACACCAGCGCAGUCUUAGCAUUUUGUGGAGGUGGCCGUGGGGAGGGAGCGUCUACCCCUGUCAGCUGACAACUGCUGUUUUUCCAAGUACAGAGAGUGGUAUGGAAAUAAUUUCCUCUGGAGGCCAAGGCACAACAGCUUCUCUGCAAAGCAGCGAACCUGAUCUGGUAAUUUGUAUAUCAUUUUAACAGUCCAGACAGUUUUUUACAGUAUUUCAGGAAGUUAUGUUGCUGCUGAUUUUUAGCCUUCUUCAUCCUCUUUUUCCUUUCCUUUCCUUCCUUUCUUUUGAGAAUUUUUCAAAUUCUGAUGCAAACUGUAUUUGUUUUCCCCUCUAUUUAAAAAUAGCAUUAUUGAGAUAUAAUCCACGUACCAUACAAUUCAUCCAUUUAAAAUAUAUAUCACAGAGUUGUGUAACCAGCACCACAGUCAAUUUUAGGACAUUUUUAUUCCCUCAAAAAUAAACCCCGUUCCCAUUAACACACCUUCCCACCACUUAUCCCCAAUCCCCAUCCACGGCCCUCAGCAGCUGCUAGUCUACUUUCUGUCUCUAUGGAUUUGCCUGUUUUAGAAAUUUAAUAUAAGUGGAAUCAUAUAUCCAUUCUUUUAGAUGAUCUAAUAUGUGCUCUUUUAUGAUGGGCAUCUUUUAUUUAGCAUAAUGUUUUUAAAGUCCGUCCAUCCAUACUGAAGCAUGAAUCAGUACUCCCUUUUUUUAUGGCUGAAUAAUAUGUCCUCGUAUAGACAUACCACAUUUCCAUUCUCUCAUUUUCUUGAGGCAGAAAAGUUUUAGCUCAUCUGUUGGCUUAUAGGUAUUUUAAGGGAAGGAAUCUUGCUUCCCUACUAGGCUUGUGUUUUCCACAACAUAUAGCACCUGCAACAUAGUACAAAUUCAGUAGUGCUGAGUUGAUGCUACCAAAGUAAAUAUGGGAAAAAAAUGAGUUUGGCCUUUGAGUUUUGACAGAGUGAAGGUUAUAAAGGAAAGAUGUGACGGGAACAAUGAGAGAAGUUAUUUGACAUAAUAGAUUGAAUGAGUAUGAAAUCAAAAAGGGGUAAGAUAAAGAAGAGAGGCAAAGCCCCGUAGUGGGACAUAGGAGAAUUUGGAAAGAAAGAGAGUGGAAACGCACAUACAGGCAGUUUGUGUUAAAGCCAAAAUUUUAGAGUAUUCAUUACACCUGAUGUUGAAAUUUUUGGCAGAGACAACUGCCAAAAUUUUGGGAUUUUUUAUGUUUAGUUUAUAGAUAUCAUGAAAUUUUUGAUUAGAAAUAUGAAACUAGUUCAUUCAUGAAUAAUUGAAAUUAUGACUUGUCACCACCUUCAUCACCACCACCACCAUCGCUGUCAUGGCUGUUACCACCAGCACUAUUGUCAUCAUGAAUGUUUGUUGAAAGCAUAUUAAAAUGUAUUGAACAUAGCCAUUUGCUGGGGUUCAGGACAUUGUGCAAAAGCGUUUUGCAUGGGUUAUUAUAUUAGUUUUUCUUAACAAAUUUGAUGAGGUAGGACCUACUAAUAUCCCCAGUUUUAUAUAUGAGAAAAGUGAAAUUGGAAUUUGAACUAGAUUUGACUGACUCUGAUAUCCAUACAUUUUUCUAUAGCAAUUUCUAGCUGCAGCUUCUAAACUUUUAGUCUAAUUUCUGCCUCAGUCCCUUUUGACUUUAUGAUGAUUUCAUAGUUACGGUGGCUUAAAUGGUUGUUAGCAAAUACUCAUACCCUCCCAUCCACCCUGCAAUUUGGCACGUGCUUCCCACUGACUUUAGCCCAAUGGAAUAUUAAGGCACACGAACUCAGCAGAAGCCUUAAAUCUGCUUGCACUCUUCAGUGGGCCUUUCCUGCACCACUGAUCCACCACAUAAAAAGGAUGUUCAGAUAGACACUGCCCUUUCAGUCUAGGGCCCAGAAUGAAUAUGUAUGGAGCAGACCUGAGCCAAAUUGCCUGGCACCAAGUCCAACUGACCCUCAACCUGAAACCCAUUGGAAUCUGCUUUACUAUGCAAAUCUAAGAGCAUGAGAAUCAAUGUUUGACAUGGCAAGCAACUGGGUUGGGGUGGUUUAGUUAUACUGACUCAUUGCAGCAAUAUUGACUACUAAUAGUAGUAUCUAUUUGUUCUUUCAUUCAUUUAGUAAUUAAUUCAACCAAGGCUGCUUUGAUUGUCUACCAUAUGCCAGUCACUGUAGCAGGUAUUGGGCUUAUGAAGAUGGAUCCAGGAUAGUCUUGUCUUGCAUUUGGUGUCCCCUUAGUCAGGAAAGACAACAUGUCCAUACAUUAUUAGAAGACAAGAUAAAAGCUGGUUAGUGCCCUAGCAGAUGGCUGAAUCUAUGCUCUUGGAGUUCUAAGGAGAGGAUAUUACAACUGAUUGGAAGUAUCAGCAAGGCUGAGGGGCUAUGAGAAUGCAAGGUAAUACAUGUAAUAAUCAAACUCUUCUGAACACCAAGAAAUGUAUAUUUUCAUGAGGUUGGCCAUCAUGUUUUUAGCAGAGAUGGCACACUCAUCAAAAAUUUAGAAAUCCAUCAUCAAAAAAUUGAGUAGGGGAGUUUCUGUUGUGGCUCAGCGGUAACUAACCCAACUAGUAUCCGUGAGGAUGUGGGUUCCAUCCCUGGCCUCACUCAGUGGGUUACGGAUCCAGCACUGCCUUGAGCUGUGGAGUAGGUCGCAGAUGCGGCUCAGAUCCCGAGUUGCUGUGGCUGUGGUGUAGGCUGGCAACAGAGCAGCUCCAAUUUGAACCCUAGCCUGGAAACUUUCAUAUGCCACAGAUGCAGCCCUAAAAAGCAAAAAAAAAAAAAAAAAA